rnacentral:rRNA from 1 species
AGCUUAUUGGUUUUUUAAUAAUAAGUAGUUUCUGCCCUAUGAGAUAUUAAAUGGCCGCGGUAUUCUGACCGUGCAAAGGUAGCAUAAUCAUUUGCUUUUUAAUUGGGGGCUUGUAUGAAUGAAAAAAUAAGUGCUGAGCUGUCUCUAUUAAAUAAUUAGAAUUUUUUUUUUGUGUGAAGAAUCACAUGUUCUGUGAGGGGACAAGAAGACCCUGUCGAGCUUUACUGGAGUUUAGUUCUGUCGGUGUACAUUUAUGUUUCUUUUGAUUUUAUGUGGUUUAGUUGGGGUGACUAAAAAAGAAAAAAUCUUUUUUUAUGUUUGGACUUAUUGGUUUAAAAGUUGAUCAGUUAGUUUUUAUUAAUGGAAUAAGUUACCGCAGGGAUAACAGCGUAAUUUUUUUGGAGAGUUCUUAUCGAUAAGAAGGUUUGCGACCUCGAUGUUGACUUGUUGUUGCUUUUAGGUGUAGGGGCUGAGAGAGUUGGCCUGUUCGGCCAUUAAAACGAC